UACGGAGGGUGCAAGCGUUAUCCGGAUUCACUGGGUUUAAAGGGUGCGUAGGUGGGCAGGUAAGUCAGUGGUGAAAUCUCCGGGCUUAACCCGGAAACUGCCGUUGAUACUAUCUGCCUUGAAUAUCGUGGAGAUGAGCGGAAUAUGUCAUGUAGCGGUGGAAUGCUUAGAUAUGACAUAGAACACCGAUUGCGAAGGCAGCUCGUUACAUGGUUAUUGACACUGAUGCGCGAAAGCGUGGGGAUCAAACAGG
rnacentral:rRNA from 1 species